rnacentral:rRNA from 1 species
UGAGCAAUCUGCCCUUCACAUCGGAAUAACCAUUGGAAACGACGGCUAAUACCGAAUAUGACUUCGGAUCGCAUGAUCUGAAGUGGAAAGCUCCGGCGGUGAAGGAUGAGCUCGCGGCCUAUCAGCUUGUUGGUGAGGUAAUAGCUCACCAAGGCGAUGACGGGUAGCCGGCCUGAGAGGGUGACCGGCCACACUGGGACUGAGACACGGCCCAGACUCCG